rnacentral:lncRNA from 1 species
GUGGGGAUCUGAGCCCCAAAAGUGGGGACCUGAGCCUAAAAAUUGGGGAUCUGAGCCUAAAAAGGGGCGAUCUGAGCCCAAAAAGUGGGGACCUGAGCCCAAAACGUGGGGACCUGAUCCCAAAAAGUGGGGACCUGAGCCCAAAAACUGGGUUUUUGGCCCCAAACGUGCGGACCUGAGCCCAGAAAGCGGGGACCUGAGCCCAAAACGUGGGGAUUUAAGCCCAGAUAGCGGGGACCUGAGCCCAGAAAUCGGGUUUUUGGCCCCAAACGUGGGGAUUUAAGCCCAGAUAGCGGGGAUUUAAGCCCCAAAAACGGGGACCUGCAACCAGAAAUCGGGUUUUUGGCCCUAAACGUGGGGACCUGAGCCCAAAACGUGGGGACCUGAGCCCCAAAAGUGGGAAUCUGAGCCCCAAACGUGGGGA